UGUCGGCGAGUUCGACCAACAUAUCAUAAGAUUUCAUUAAUAAACCACGCCGAUAAUUUGAAGGGACUUGAAUCAAACAUGGAAUAUUUCCAGUUUUUGUGUGGACUUGUCUUCAAUUACGUUGUCGCAGGUCUGUUAUCAAAAGGAAUAUUCAAUCUUCGAAAUCGUGAUGUCGUUUAGAGACCAUAAUUAGUGUAAUGGUAUUUAAAAUUCACAGAGGUAAGCGGUUGUAAUAUUACAGACUGGCAUAAUUUGUCGGUGGCGUGUGACCGUUUUGAUGUCCUGCGGUGCUAUCGCGUCGAAUAAUUAUUACAUCCGGACUACGAAUCAACCCUCAGCCGUGUGAUUCCACAUGUGGUAACACCAUUUGAUGAUGUCACUUGCGAUAAUUGAUAAUGUGGACAGGUGCGCCUGUUUGAUCGAAAAAUUAAAAACCAACUUGUUGAUUAAAAUUUUCAUUAAAAAUCAAUAUAAAAUUUUUAAUUUUGACUUGUUGGCGACAGAAAGCCGUCCAUAAAUACUUCCGGAAUGAGUGUUCCGUGCCCCUUUUUGCUUGUAAUUCAACGCCGUUCGGUGUAAUGUUUAAAGUGAUAUUCCAGUCUUGCGCGUCAAAUGGUGAGAAUGUUCAGGUGUGUGUGCCCCAACUUUGUUAUGGAAACAGAAUUACCACUAAAAUAGUCAUUAUUAGGGUCAUUAGGUAUGACCUGGCCGAUCUUUACAUACAGGACGUAUUUCACCAACUAAUUGCACCGUCUGCAACUCGUAAUUACGACAUGCAAAUUAUUUUUCGAAUUAUAUCCAUAUUUAGCAUAAAAAUUCUAUUCACUGAUACUCCUUCGUUUUGACCCAAAAUGCCUAAAUUAAACUUCACGACCUAAACUUAUUAGUUAUUACAUAAAUGGGCUAUACAACUAAAAUUAUGUAUUACGGGGACAUGUUAUGUAAAGUAUUAAUAAGAUUAUGUUGUUCCAAAUGUUCCAAAUUUUAAACCCAAACA